rnacentral:rRNA from 2 species
UUAAUAGCGGCUAAUUUUGACGUUACUCGCAGAAGAAGCACCGGCUAACUCUGUGCCAGCAGCCGCGGUAAUACAGAGGGUGCAAGCGUUAAUCGGAAUUACUGGGCGUAAAGCGCACGUAGGCGGUUUUUUAAGUCAGAUGUGAAAGCCCCGGGCUCAACCUGGGAAUUGCAUUUGAAACUGGGGAACUAGAGUGUGUGAGAGGGGGGUAGAAUUCCAAGUGUAGCGGUGAAAUGCGUAGAGAUUUGGAGGAAUACCAGUGGCGAAGGCGGCCCCCUGGCACAACACUGACGCUCAGGUGCGAAAGCGUGGGGAGCAAACAGGAUUAGAUACCCUGGUAGUCCACGCCGUAAACGAUGUCUACUAGCUGUUCGUGUCCUUGUGAUGUGAGUAGCGCAGCUAACGCACUAAGUAGACCGCCUGGGGAGUACGGUCGCAAGAUUAAAACUCAAAUGAAUUGACGGGGGCCCGCACAAGCGGUGGAGCAUGUGGUUUAAUUCGACGCAACGCGAAGAACCUUACCUACUCUUGACAUCUACGGAAGACUGCAGAGAUGCGGUUGUGCCUUCGGGAACCGUAAGACAGGUGCUGCAUGGCUGUCGUCAGCUCGUGUUGUGAAAUGUUGGGUUAAGUCCCGCAACGAGCGCAACCCCUAUCCUUAGUUGCCAGCGAGUUAAGUCGGGAACUCUAGGGAGACUGCCGGUGAUAAACCGGAGGAAGGUGGGGAC